AAAAGAAAUCAACCGAGAUUCCGUAAGUAGCGACGAGCGAACGCGGACUAGCCCUUAAGCUGAUUUGGUUCUAGGAAAAACACUCUGGAAAGAGUGGCCAUAGAAGGUGAUAGCCCUGUAUCUGAAAGGGCCAUUUCAGUGAAGACGAGUAGGGCGGGGCACGUGAAACCCUGUCUGAACAUGGGGGGACCAUCCUCCAAGGCUAAAUACUACUGACCGACCGAUAGUGAACCAGUACCGUGAGGGAAAGGCGAAAAGAACCCCGGAGAGGGGAGUGAAAUAGAACCUGAAACCGUGUGCGUACAAGCAGUAGGAGCUCCGCAAGGAGUGACUGCGUACCUUUU
rnacentral:rRNA from 1 species